CUAAGACAAAACUUUGAUUUUCAAGGUUUUCGGUUUCGAUUUAUUGUGCUUACUUUGAUUCAUUUUAUGUGUGUUAGCACGACCAACAAACACGACUGAUACAACAACAACAAAAACAACAACAAUAGCAACAACAACAGUUCGGUAUCCGAAUCAGUGUUCUUUUGACGAGAAUAACUUAUGUUCUUGGACACAAUCAUCUGAUGAUAAUUUCAACUGGACACUUCAAGACGGACCGACAGAUUCAGCUGACACGGGACCUUCAGUGGACCACUCGAUUGGAAAUGAUCAAGGGAAGUACCUGUAUAUAGAAUCAUCUUCACCUCGUAAGCAAGGUGAGUUUGCUAGAUUAGAGUCACCUACCCUGUCUUCUAGAAGAAAGACUUGCAUGUCGCUAUGGUACUACAUGUAUGGAGAUGGUAUUGGCAACUUAACAAUUCUGAUACAAAAGGGUCAGAACACAAAGUCCGAGAAUGUUCUCUUCAACAUCUCCGGGGAUCAAGGUCAGCGUUGGUGUCCAGCUGUUGUUGAAAUACCUGCUUUAUCUAUGGUUUAUGAUUACACACUUGUCAUACAGGGUGAUGUAGGGUCAACAUAUCAUGGUGAUAUUGCAAUAGAUGAUCUUCUUAUUAGUGAAA
rnacentral:lncRNA from 1 species